GAAAUCCUGGAUGCCAAGAAAUGAAAUCCUUUUUUUUUUGACGAGAUCACGGGGGCUGGCCAGCAGCCAGGCGCAAGGCUUUCCACGCAACUUGCCCACGCUGCCCGUUUAGCCCCUUGCUUCCUCCAGGACGGCUUCUCUCGCAUGUAUUUCUGUUCACCACAGAAAGAGGGUUAGAUUUUGAUUCGGCCCAAUAUUUUAGUUUGCACUACACCCUGGAAAAGCUGGUAACUUCUCCUUAAGACCUGUCAGUCUCUGAAUAUAAAUCCCCCUUUGUUGGGGGGGGGUGUGUGAUUUGAGCCGCAUGAUCAGAGUCAGGUGACAACACUGGGCACAAAAACGGAGUAGAAUAAACAGUGAGACCUAGGAGAUUAGCUGUUGAUCUUGCCUUUUGACAAGCUGUGCUGCUCCUCAGAGAAAAAUGAGUGCCUGGCCCUCUCCUCUGCUUUGGAGCUUAACCAUGGUGUGGCUGACAGGUAUUGCUUUAAGCCAGAUGACCACUACCCAGGUCCCUAUCGCCUCAACACCAGCGCCUCCCAGUGCAACGGCCACCCAGGUCCCUCUUGCCUCGACACCAGGGUCCCCUAGUGCAACCACUGUCUCAGCCUCUGCGCCCCCAGUUUCUGCUGCGACGCGCUCGGCUGGAGCGGCGUCCGCCACGCCAACCCUUGCCACGUCUGCGGGAGCGCUGUCUGCUGACCCGAGCACGGGAGCGCCAACUCCAGUUCUGUCCACCUCCCUGGACGUGACAGCACUCGUUUCUGGAAGCGCGACCAGCUCUCGUGUGCCCACAGCAGCACUCACUGGUGCCCCGUCCUUCUCUCCGGCUGCGACUGCGUCUCCCGGCGUCCCAUCAGCAGCUCCGUUCCUCGCCACCUCGGAGCCCUCGGGCUGCAGCAGGGUGAACGUGACAGCGUGCGAGCCUUGUUCCCCGGGGACGUUUCCCAACGAUGGCACCCUGAGCUGCUCGUGCUGUUCGCAGGGCUCCUGCACGGGCCCCGCUGACUGCGUUCCCUGCCCGGUGGGUCACUACCAGCCCCUGAGCGGACAGCAGUCGUGUCUGCCGUGUCCACAGGGGUAUUACACCAGUUUUCGGAGGAGCACCACAUGCUCUCCCUGCCCACCUGGCUCUUACGCUAACGAGUCUGGGGCUGCAGCCUGCAGAGCCUGCCAGAGAGGGUAUUUCAGCGCCCAGCAAAAUGCAGCUUUCUGCCUGCCUUGCCUGCCUGGAUCAUUUUGCAAGAUAAACAGAUGUGUCAGGGUGUGCAGAAAGCAGUAGCUAAACUCUCCUGGCUGCAGUCAUCUUCGUGAUGGAGGAGAAGGUGCCUCCCAGCCAGUGGGGGUACCUAGAGGUGAGUCUGCACCCUGCUAUGGUAAGGCUGCCUGUGCUAAGGGUGCAGAUUUUAAAUUCAAAGUAGAUUAGCUAACUCAUGAAUAUUUAUCCUCCUUCUGACCUUACCUGGAGCUUGCCUGUGCCACAAUGGAUCUCUGCUGAAUUUUUU
rnacentral:lncRNA from 1 species